AUUGAACGCUGGCGGUAUGCCUAACACAUGCAAGUCGAACGGCAACAUGCCUUCGGGUGCUGACGAGUGGCGAACGGGUGAGUAAUUCAUCGGAACGUGCCCCGCCGUGGGGGAAAAGGUAGUGAAGCAUACGAUCAAUCCCCACACGACCUGAGGGUGAAAGUGGGGGACCGGAAACGGGCUACAGCGAGUGGAGCCGCCGGUGUCAGAUUAGCUAGUUGGUGGGGUAAAGGCCUACCAAGGCGACGAUCUGUAGCGGGUCUGAGAGGAUGAUCCGCCACACUGGGACUGAGACACGGCCCAGACUCCUACGGGAGGCAGCAGUGGGGAAUUUUGGACAAUGGGGGCAACCCUGAUGCAGCAAUGCCGCGUGCGGGAAGAAGGCCUUCGGGUUGUAAACCGCUUUCGGACAGAAAGAAAUUGCCAUUCCUAAUACGAUUGGUGGAUGACGGUACUGUAAGAAGAAGCACCGGCUAACUACGUGCCAGCAGCCGCUGUAAAAC
rnacentral:rRNA from 1 species